rnacentral:rRNA from 1 species
CCUACGGGGGGCAGCAGUGGGGAAUAUUGGACAAUGGGGGCAACCCUGAUCCAGCCAUGCCGCGUGUGUGAAGAAGGCCCUCGGGUUGUAAAGCACUUUCAGUGAGGAAGAACGCCUGGUGGUUAAUACCCAUCAGGAAAGACAUCACUCACAGAAGAAGCACCGGCUAACUCCGUGCCAGCUGCCGCGGUAAUACGGAGGGUGCGAGCGUUAAUCGGAAUUACUGGGCGUAAAGCGCGCGUAGGUGGCUUGAUAAGCCGGUUGUGAAAGCCCCGGGCUCAACCUGGGAACGGCAUCCGGAACUGUCAAGCUAGAGUGCAGGAGAGGAAGGUAGAAUUCCCGGUGUAGCGGUGAAAUGCGUAGAGAUCGGGAGGAAUACCAGUGGCGAAGGCGGCCUUCUGGACUGACACUGACACUGAGGUGCGAAAGCGUGGGUAGCAAACAGGAUUAGAUACCCUAGUAGUC